GGGUAUGUAUCCAGACACCAAGGAUUCGUUAAUUAGAGUUGAGACGGGUUUAGCAAUUGCCGGCGCACUGAGCUUCAACAGCAUUGCUGGGAUUUGAUCAGUUCCGGACUGGUUUUUCAUUUUUAGAUUAUUAAGAUGUCUGUAUGUAUGAAUGUAUGUGUGUAUGUGUGUAUGUAUGUAUGUUAGUAUGUGUCUGUCUGUCACUAUGUAUG